GAAUGCUGACAUAAGUAACGAUAAAGCGGGUGAAAAGCCCGCUCGCCGGAAGACCAAGGGUUCCUGUCCAACGUUAAUCGGGGCAGGGUGAGUCGACCCCUAAGGCGAGGCCGAAAGGCGUAGUCGAUGGGAAACGGGUUAAUAUUCCCGUACUUGGUGUUACUGCGAAGGGGGGACGGAGAAGGCUAUGUUGGCCGGGCGACGGUUGUCCCGGUUUAAGCGUGUAGGUGUGUGUUCCAGGUAAAUCCGGUUCACUUUAACACUGAGGCGUGACGACGAGGCACUACGGUGCUGAAGCAACAAAUGCCCUGCUUCCAGGAAAAGCCUCUAAGCAUCAGGUAACAUCAAAUCGUACCCCAAACCGACACAGGUGGUCAGGUAGAGAAUACCAAGGCGCUUGAGAGAACUCGGGUGAAGGAACUAGGCAAAAUGGUGCCGUAACUUCGGGAGAAGGCACGCUGACACGUAGGUGAAGUGAUUUACUCAUGGAGCUGAAGUCAGUCGAAGAUACCAGCUGGCUGCAACUGUUUAUUAAAAACACAGCACUGUGCAAACACGAAAGUGGACGUAUACGGUGUGACGCCUGCCCGGUGCCGGAAGGUUAAUUGAUGGGGUCAGCGCAAGCGAAGCUCCUGAUCGAAGCCCCGGUAAACGGCGGCCGUAACUAUAACGGUCCUAAGGUAGCGAAAUUCCUUGUCGGGUAAGUUCCGACCUGCACGAAUGGCGUAAUGAUGGCCAGGCUGUCUCCACCCGAGACUCAGUGAAAUUGAACUCGCUGUGAAGAUGCAGUGUACCCGCGGCAAGACGGAAAGACCCCGUGAACCUUUACUAUAGCUUGACACUGAACAUUGAGCCUUGAUGUGUAGGAUAGGUGGGAGGCUUUGAAGUGUGGACGCCAGUCUGCAUGGAGCCGACCUUGAAAUACCACCCUUUAAUGUUUGAUGUUCUAACGUGGACCCGUUACCCGGGUUGCGGACAGUGUCUGGUGGGUAGUUUGACUGGGGCGGUCUCCUCCUAAAGAGUAACGGAGGAGCACGAAGGUUGGCUAAUCCUGGUCGGACAUCAGGAGGUUAGUGCAAUGGCAUAAGCCAGCUUGACUGCGAGCGUGACGGCGCGAGCAGGUGCGAAAGCAGGUCAUAGUGAUCCGGUGGUUCUGAAUGGAAGGGCCAUCGCUCAACGGAUAAAAGGUACUCCGGGGAUAACAGGCUGAUACCGCCCAAGAGUUCAUAUCGACGGCGGUGUUUGGCACCUCGAUGUCGGCUCAUCACAUCCUGGGGCUGAAGUAGGUCCCAAGGGUAUGGCUGUUCGCCAUUUAAAGUGGUACGCGAGCUGGGUUUAGAACGUCGUGAGACAGUUCGGUCCCUAUCUGCCGUGGGCGCUGGAGAACUGAGGGGGGCUGCUCCUAGUACGAGAGGACCGGAGUGGACGCAUCACUGGUGUUCGGGUUGUCAUGCCAAUGGCACUGCCCGGUAGCUAAAUGCGGAAGAGAUAAGUGCUGAAAGCAUCUAAGCACGAAACUUGCCCCGAGAUGAGUUCUCCCUGAGACUUAAAGUCUCCUGAAGGAACGUUGAAGACGACGACGUUGAUAGGCCGGGUGUGUAAGCGCAGCGAUGCGUUGAGCUAACCGGUACUAAUGAACCGUGAGGCUUAACCUUA
rnacentral:rRNA from 1 species